UUGGGAAUAUUGGACAAUGGGGGAAACCCUGAUCCAGCAAUGCCGCGUGGGUGAUGAAGGCCUUCGGGUUGUAAAGCCCUUUUGGCGGGGACGAUGAUGACGGUACCCGCAGAAUAAGCCCCGGCUAACUUCGUGCCAGCAGCCGCGGUAAUACGAAGGGGGCUAGCGUUGUUCGGAAUUACUGGGCGUAAAGGGCGCGUAGGCGGCCGUGCAAGUCAGAUGUGAAAGCCCUGGGCUCAACCCAGGAGGUGCAUUUGAUACUGCAUGGCUAGAGUGUCGGAGAGGAUGGUGGAAUUCCCAGUGUAGAGGUGAAAUUCGUAGACAUUGGGAAGAACACCGGUGGCGAAGGCGACCAUCUGGACGACAACUGACGCUGAGGCGCGAAAGCGUGGGGAGCAAACAGGAUUAGAUACCCUGGUAGUCCACGCCGUAAACUAUGCGUGUUGGACGUUGGCGAGCCUAGCUCGUCGGUGUCGCAGCUAACGCGUUAAACACGCCGCCUGGGGAGUACGGCCGCAAGGUUAA
rnacentral:rRNA from 1 species